rnacentral:lncRNA from 1 species
GCGAGCUGGACGGUGGACGGAGCUAGGUGGGCGGUGCGUGGCGCUCCCGCAAUCUCAGGAUACCCUGGCUGCUGGCGGGGCUACGGUGCUGGCUCGGGGUGAGGUGUGUGUGUGUGUUGACGUGGAUUUUUAACAAAUGCUGGGUUUUUAGUGUCCGUCAAUCCUGGCUUUUCAGUUUUUUCUACCUAGGCUUGUUCAUUCUCUUCACACUCCCUUAAGUACCCUUAUUCUCUUCAUGGCCGGCCGCAGUGCAGCCUUCUGCACGAAUCCCUUAUUUGUCCCCAACUUUCCUCCUUCCGUAAUGGGAUUUGCUUUCCGUUCACUUUUUAAUCGACUAAACGGAUAAACUCCAAAGUUUUGAGAGACUAAGUGGGAUUCUUCCUUUGCGCUCUGAAGUUCCCUUGAAUGCCCUCGCGCUAGCUUAUACCCUUCAUUAACGCUCGUCGUGCCUGUCAUUGCUUCAUCCAUGUCUGCAUGCCACACUAGGUUUCAAACUGUCGCGAGUAUUAAAAACAAAAUCAACGGCCAAAUGACUCAACUGCGAUUGUGCCAGUGAGAACCUCAGGAGCCUAGCAGAAGAUAACGCUGGGAAGGGUUCAAGGAGCUAAGCCGAGAGUUUUGGCUGCCCACCACAGACAGAGCCAGCUCUGGCCUGCUCUAUCUCUCAUUACUGUGAUGACGGCUGUAUCCAGAUGCUAAACACUCCAGAGACACUCCAAUGCAGUGCUAAAGACUCAAAACACUUCAUCCCCAAAGAAUGUAGCAUUCCAGGAGAAAACAGGCCUCCUUCUGACACUGGUAAAACUGUGAAGGUGUGUGAUAAAUCAGGGAUCAAAAUGAGAGGCCACAGAUUCUCUGCCCCUUACAGUGAAUCCUGCUCUUCUCUUUUCAAUGGAGUAACAGUCAUAUUUAAAAAAAAAAAAAAAAGUUUGUACAGACACACUAAUGGAAACAAUGACAAAAUAUAUUCAAACAUAAAGUGUUACAAUAGCUAGAGGCUGUUCUAGAUGGGAAUCAAAGAAUAAAUAGCUGGAGAUGUAACUAAGGAUAAAAACAUAUGAAACGUCUUGGGCUAUUUGAGGGGAUUAGUUUUGAGAGGGUGGGCAGGAAUAGUUUGUCCUUGGGGCAAUGGUUGCUUCCAUUUUCUUUCCUUCUGUUUUUCCUUGUUUUUCUUCCUUCUUUUCUCCCUCCCUUUCUCC